AGUGAACGCUGGCGGUAGGCCUAACACAUGCAAGUCGAACGGCAGCACAGUAAGAGCUUGCUCUUACGGGUGGCGAGUGGCGGACGGGUGAGGAAUACAUCGGAAUCUACUUUUUCGUGGGGGAUAACGUAGGGAAACUUACGCUAAUACCGCAUACGACCUACGGGUGAAAGCAGGGGAUCUUCGGACCUUGCGCGAUUGAAUGAGCCGGUGGCGGCUUAGCUAGUUGGCGGGGUAAAGGCCCACCAAGGCGACGCUCCGUAGCUGGCCUGAGAGGGUGAUCGGCCACACUGGAACUGAGACACGGUCCAGACUCCUGCGGGAGGCAGCAGUGGGGAAUAUUGGGCAAUGGGCGGAAGCCUGAUCCAGCCAUACCGCGUGGGUGAAGAAGGCCUUCGGGUUGUAAAGCCCUUUUGUUGGGAAAGAAAAGCAGCAGGUUAAUACCCCGCUGUUCUGACGGUACCCAAAGAAUAAGCACCGGCUAACUUCGUG
rnacentral:rRNA from 1 species